rnacentral:lncRNA from 1 species
GGGGAUCUGAACCAGCUGUUGUGGACAAAAAUAUUAAACCAAUCCAUGUUAGUUAAAUGCCUAUUUACUCAACAUAAUUAUAAUCAGCAUUAUUCAACUUUCUAUAUGAUUUAUCUAAAAUGGCCCCUAGGGAGUUUCCCCUUUAACAUCGACUAACACCCUCAUUAACAAGAUGGCGCUGGAAUCUGGGGGAGACCUCCAAGAUACCAGUGACAUCACACCCAGUAGGCAGAGCACUAAAUGAACCACUUAACACCUAACCAAUUAUUGAUGUAUUAUUUCAUGUUAUCUCUGACAAUGCUUAUGAUGUAAUUUUGCUUUAUAAGGGACAUGUCGUCCCCCCAGAAUAAACAUUCCUCAAGUUUUUCAUUAAC